rnacentral:rRNA from 1 species
CAGUCGCCACGGUAAUACCGAGGGUGCAAGCGUUAAUCGGAAUUACUGGGCGUAAAGCGCGCGUAGGUGGUUUGUUAAGUUGGAUGUGAAAUCCCCGGGCUCAACCUGGGAACUGCAUCCAAAACUGGCAAGCUAGAGUAUGGUAGAGGGUGGUGGAAUUUCCUGUGUAGCGGUGAAAUGCGUAGAUAUAGGAAGGAACACCAGUGGCGAAGGCGACCACCUGGACUGAUACUGACACUGAGGUGCGAAAGCGUGGGGAGCAAACAGGAUUAGAUACCCCCGUAGUCCCUGUCUCUUAUAC